AUUGAACGCUGGCGGCAGGCCUAACACAUGCAAGUCGAGCGGAUGAGUGGAGCUUGCUCCAUGAUUCAGCGGCGGACGGGUGAGUAAUGCCUAGGAAUCUGCCUGGUAGUGGGGGACAACGUUUCGAAAGGAACGCUAAUACCGCAUACGUCCUACGGGAGAAGGUGGGGGAUCUUCGGACCUCACGCUAUCAGAUGAGCCUAGGUGGGAUUAGCAAGUUGGGGAGGUAAAGGCUCACCAAGGCGACGAUCCGUAACUGGUCUGAGAGGAUGAACAGUCACACUGGAACUGAGACACGGUCCAGACUCCUACGGGAGGCAGCAGUGGGGAAUAUUGGACAAUGGGCGAAAGCCUGAUCCAGCCAUGCCGCGUGUGUGAAGAAGGUCUUCGGAUUGUAAAGCACUUUAAGUUGGGAGGAAGGGCAGUAAGUUAAUACCUUGCUGUUUUGACGUUACCAACAGAAUAAGCACCGGCUAACUUCGUGCCAGCAGCCGCCGUAACAC
rnacentral:rRNA from 1 species